GAUCCUGGCUCAGGACGAACGCUGGCGGCGCGCCUAACACAUGCAAGUCGAACGAGAGAGAGGGAGCUUGCUUCCUCAAUCGAGUGGCGAACGGGUGAGUAACGCGUGAGGAACCUGCCUCAAAGAGGGGGACAACAGUUGGAAACGACUGCUAAUACCGCAUAAGCGCACAGUACCGCAUGGUACAGUGUGAAAAACUCCGGUGGUAUGAGAUGGACCCGCGUCUGAUUAGUUAGUUGGG
rnacentral:rRNA from 1 species